rnacentral:rRNA from 1 species
CCCUUAGAUGUCCUGGGCCGCACGCGCGCUACACUGACAUGUUCAACAAGCCUCCUAGUUCGACAGGAUUUGGGAAAUCUUUGAACGCAUGUCGUGAUAGGGAUAGAUCAUUGCAAUUAUUGAUCUUGAACGAGGAAUUCCUAGUAACGCGAGUCAUCAGCUCGCAUUGAUUAUGUCCCUGCCCUUUGUACACACCGCCCGUCGCACCUACCGAUUGAAUGUUUCGGUGAAGAUUCCGGAUAGGACUUUUUUGAUUUAUUUCAAUUCUGUCUUAAAAGCUAUCUAAACCUCAACAUUUAGAGGAAGGUGAAGUCGUAACA